GACGAACGCUGGCGGCGUGCUUAACACAUGCAAGUCGAACGGAAAGGCCCUGCUUUUGUGGGGUGCUCGAGUGGCGAACGGGUGAGUAACACGUGAGUAACCUGCCCUUGACUUUGGGAUAACUUCAGGAAACUGGGGCUAUUACCGGAUAGGAGCUCUUGCUGCAUGUUGGGGGUUGGAAAGUUUCGGCGGUUGGGGAUGGACUCGCGGCUUAUCAGCUUGUUGGUGGGGUAGUGGCUUACCAAGGCUUUGACGGGUAGCCGGCCUGAGAGGGUGACCGGCCACAUUGGGACUGAGAUACGGCCCAGACUCCUACGGGAGGCAGCAGUGGGGAAUAUUGCACAAUGGGCGGAAGCCUGAUGCAGCAACGCCGCGUGCGGGAUGACGGCCUUCGGGUUGUAAACCGCUUUCGCCUGUGACGAAGCGUGAGUGACGGUAAUGGGUAAAGAAGCACCGGCUAACUACGUG
rnacentral:rRNA from 1 species